GACGAACGCUGGCGGCGUGCUUAACACAUGCAAGUCGAACGGAAAGGCCCUGCUUUUGUGGGGUUCUGGAUUGGCGAACGGGGAAGUAACACGUAAGUAACCUGCCCUUGACUUUGGGGUAACUUCAGGAAACUGGGGCUAAUACCGGAUAGGAGCUCCUGCUGCAUGGUGGGGGUUGGAUAGUUUCGGCGGUUGGGGAUGGACUCGCGGCUUAUCAGCUUGUUGGUGGGGUAGUGGCUUACCAAGGCUUUGACGGGUAGCCGGCCUGAGAGGGUGACCGGCCACAUUGGGACUGAGAUACGGCCCAGACUCCUACGGGAGGCAGCAGUGGGGAAUAUUGCACAAUGGGCGGAAGCCUGAUGCAGCAACGCCGCGUGCGGGAUGACGGCCUUCGGGUUGUAAACCGCUUUCGCCUGUGACGAAGCGUGAGUGACGGUAAUGGGUAAAGAAGCACCGGCUAACUACGUG
rnacentral:rRNA from 1 species